GAUGAACGCUAGCUACAGGCUUAACACAUGCAAGUCGAGGGGCAGCAUGGUCUUAGCUUGCUAAGGCCGAUGGCGACCGGCGCACGGGUGAGUAACACGUAUCCAACCUGCCGUCUACUCUUGGACAGCCUUCUGAAAGGAAGAUUAAUACAAGAUGGCAUCAUGAGUCCGCAUGUUCACAUGAUUAAAGGUAUUCCGGUAGACGAUGGGGAUGCGUUCCAUUAGAUAGUAGGCGGGGUAACGGCCCACCUAGUCUUCGAUGGAUAGGGGUUCUGAGAGGAAGGUCCCCCACAUUGGAACUGAGACACGGUCCAAACUCCUACGGGAGGCAGCAGUGAGGAAUAUUGGUCAAUGGGCGAGAGCCUGAACCAGCCAAGUAGCGUGAAGGAUGACUGCCCUAUGGGUUGUAAACUUCUUUUAUAAAGGAAUAAAGUCGGGUAUGGAUACCCGUUUGCAUGUACUUUAUGAAUAAUGAUCGGCUAACUCCGUG
rnacentral:rRNA from 1 species